GACGAACGCUGGCGGCGCGCUUAACACAUGCAAGUCGAACGGAAAGGCCUGCUUUCCCUUGUGGAUUGCGGGUACUCGAGUGGCGAACGGGUGAGUAACACGUGAGUGAUCUGCCCCCAACUUGGGUAUAAGCCUGGGAAACUGGGUCUAAUUCCCGAUAGGACUGCAGGGUGGUGCCUGUGGUGGAAAACGAUUUUCUAGUGGUUGGGGAUGAGCUCGCGGCCUAUCAGCUUGUUGGUGGGGUAAUGGCCUACCAAGGCGGCGACGGGUAGCCGGCCUGAGAGGGUGGACGGCCACAUUGGGACUGAGAUACGGCCCAGACUCCUACGGGAGGCAGCAGUGGGGAAUAUUGCUCAAUGGGCGGAAGCCUGAUGCAGCGACGCCGCGUGGGGGAUGACGGCCUUCGGGUUGUAAACUCCUUUCGACCGCGAGGAAGCCACCUGGUUGGAAGGGUGGUGACGGUAGUGGUAGAAGAAGCACCGGCUAACUACGUG
rnacentral:rRNA from 1 species